rnacentral:tRNA from 1 species
GCACCCGUAGCUCAGCUGGAUAGAGCACCAGACUACGAAUCUGGGGGCCAGAGGUUCGAAUCCUUUCGGGUGCGCCA